UUGUUUGCCUAAUUCCUCAGCAGUUUCUGAGCCUGACGCUGACCCUGCUCUGAAUCCCAGGAACCCCGUCCAAAGGGACGGGUCGUGGCGCAGCUCAGAGAUUGUUUUCCGGAGGAACAGAAACGGCCUGCGCGUUCCAGGCGUCUGACCUAAGAUACCGAGAGCUGCGGGUGCAGCACCCUAGCCAGACAGGGCGACCCUGCCCUGGGCGACUAGCUUGGAAGGAGGGAAAGACACUACUCUACAUCUGCAGCGACAGGGAACAAGUCUAGGUGCCACCCGGUUCCGUGUUGCUUAGUACAGCAGCGGGGACUGGAUGUUCUGUGCUAGCCAGCGGCAGCAAGGAGAGAAGUGGUCAGGUAGAGAAUCUUCGAGAAGAGGUUGGUCUUGAACUCCUGGCCUCAAAUGAUCCUCCCACCUCAGCCUCCCAAAGUGCUGGGAUUACAGGCAUGUGCCACCGCGCCCAACCCUCAAAUAUUGUAUUGUAAAAGACAAUGAAAAGCAUACAAAACAAAAAUGAUCAGUGAGAAGCUAGGUGGCGUCAAAUGCCCGGGCAA
rnacentral:lncRNA from 1 species